rnacentral:rRNA from 1 species
UGGGGAAUAUUGCGCAAUGGCCGCAAGGCUGACGCAGCGACGCCGCGUGUGGGAUGAAGCCCUUCGGGGUGUAAACCACUGUUGCCCGGGACGAACGAGGAGAUUCAUCCCCUGUGACGGUACCGGGUGAGGAAGCACCGGCUAACUCCGUGCCAGCAGCCGCGGUAAUACGGAGGGUGCGAGCGUUGUCCGGAAUCACUGGGCGUAAAGGGCGCGUAGGCGGCUUGGUAAGGGGGCGGUGAAAGCCCGGGGCUCAACCCCGGGUCUGCCGGACCGACUGCCGAGCUUGAGCACACUAGGGGCAGGUGGAAUUCCGGGUGUAGCGGUGGAAUGCGUAGAGAUCCGGAAGAACACCGGUGGCGAAGGCGGCCUGCCGGGGUGUGGCUGACGCUGAGGCGCGACAGCGUGGGGAGCAAACAGGAUUAGAUACCCCCGUAGUCC